CCUACGGGGGGCAGCAGUGGGGAAUAUUGCACAAUGGGGGAAACCCUGAUGCAGCCAUGCCGCGUGUGUGAAGAAGGCCUUCGGGUUGUAAAGCACUUUCAGUUGUGAGGAAAAGUUAGUAGUUAAUACCUGCUAGCCGUGACGUUAACAACAGAAGAAGCACCGGCUAACUCCGUGCCAGCAGCCGCGGUAAUACGGAGGGUGCGAGCGUUAAUCGGAAUUACUGGGCGUAAAGCGCACGCAGGCGGUUUGUUAAGCUAGAUGUGAAAGCCCCGGGCUCAACCUGGGAUGGUCAUUUAGAACUGGCAGACUAGAGUCUUGGAGAGGGGAGUGGAAUUCCAGGUGUAGCGGUGAAAUGCGUAGAUAUCUGGAGGAACAUCAGUGGCGAAGGCGACUCCCUGGCCAAAGACUGACGCUCAUGUGCGAAAGUGUGGGUAGCGAACAGGAUUAGAUACCCGAGUAGUC
rnacentral:rRNA from 1 species